UACGGGCGGGCCUGACUCUUUGCUCUGCCCGUAUCUUUUUUUCCACUCUGGGUGAGCAAAGUUUCAGGUGUGUCCGUGA
rfam:Apis mellifera strain DH4 linkage group 13, whole genome shotgun sequence.